rnacentral:rRNA from 1 species
UACAGAGGUCUCAAGCGUUGUUCGGAUUCAUUGGGCGUAAAGCGUGUGCAGGCGGGGGUACAAGUGGUGUAUGAAAUUUCCCAGCUUAACUGGGAAGGGCUAUGCCAGACUGUACUUCUGGAGUGCGAGAGAGGGGCGUGGAAUUCCGGGUGUAGUGGUGAAAUGCGUAGAGAUCCGGAGGAACCCCAGAGGCGAAGGCGGCGCCCUGGCUCGCAACUGACGCUCAGACACGACAGCAUGGGGAGCGAACGGG